GAACUCUAUUUGCAUAUCCUUUUAUACAUGGGAGAUUAAAAGCUUCAACCUUGAGUGAUCACAGUUUUUGAGAAUCAUGAUGAGGCAUUAAAGAAGAGGAGGAGUGUCUCAAGGGAGCCUCAGACUCAGGGCUGGGACCCUUGGGACUCAAAAGAGAGAAAAGGUGGAGAAAAGAGAAAGCUACUAUUUUCUUCAUUUUGCCCCUGCUAACAUCCAAUGCACUUAGGAGCCUCGAUGUCUGCUCUCCAAGAGAUGUCUGAUCUGAAAGCAUGUUGUGGUCCGCUACACACAAGAGCAAAAGAAGAGCAGGAAGGAGCUCAGUGCCAAGACCAUAGCCACAGGAAGAAAACCAGCUCUUAGGGCUGCAGCUCUAAAGACAGGCCAGGUCAUUACAGGAACGUCUGCUCCCUUAGCCUUGCCAGACAGAGGAGGGUUAAGAAAGGAACUGCUGACCCUGAUAUGCAAACUGCCACGAGUGCUUCCUGCCUUUCUAUCAGCAUCAGAUGGCUAGCGAUGGAUGGCUGUAAGAUUGAUGUAAUUAACAUUUUAUUUUCAGGGCCACAGUGCUGGUUGGGUGCACCAGACAAAUCAACCAACAGAUUAAAGAGUGAUGGAGAAA
rnacentral:lncRNA from 1 species